AGGCAGGCGGCUGGCAGAGGUUAAGGCCUGACUUCUGCUCCCAGUCGACCCAGUCGACCCGGGUUCAAAUCCGCCUGCCGGCUCCUCGGGUGUUUGAGGAGUGAUGAAAUGGGAGGUGGCCCCCCAUCAUAUGGACGGUGUAGGACGUGAUAAUACCACCCUGUAAAAACCACCCUGUAACAACAUACAUACAAGAUGCAGGCGGCUGGCAGAGGUUAAGGCCUGACUUCUGCUCCCAGUCGACCCAGUCGACCCGGGUUCAAAUCCGCCUGCCGGCUCCUCGGGUGUUUGAGGAGUGAUGAAAUGGGAGGUGGCCCCCCAUCUUAUGGACGGUGUAGGACGUGAUAAUAUCAACUUGCGAGCUGACCAGGAACUAAGUUGAUGCGCCGUUGAUCCGCUAGAUUUGGUUGGAUGCUGGUGGUGAGUUGCCGAACCCAACGAAUACAUUCUGAAGUCGGAUGGGGUGACGGAUUAGGGUGCCCCUCUAGCAGGGGAGAGCAGGGACUGCCCCGGGAAAGGGGGCCGCUGGCGAAGUUAACCACCCUGUAACAACAUACAUACAAG
rnacentral:lncRNA from 1 species